GCAUGGGUGGUUCAGUGAUAGAAUUCUUGCCUUCAAAGUGGGAGACCCGGGUUUGAUUCCAGGCCGAUGCA
rnacentral:tRNA from 1 species